AUGCUUGAUGAGUUGCAUGGUUCA
rnacentral:siRNA from 1 species